GACAGAGGGUGCAAACGUUGUUCGGGAUUACUGGGCGUAAAGCGCGUGUAGGCGGCUAUGCAAGUCGGAUGUGAAAGCCCUCGGCUCAACCGGGGAAGUGCACCCGAAACUGCAAAGCUAGAGUCUCGGAGAGGAUCGUGGAAUUCUCGGUGUAGAGGUGAAAUUCGUAGAUAUCGGGAGGAACACCAGUGGCGAAGGCGGCGACCUGGGCCAAUAUUGACGCUGAGGUGCGAAAGCGUGGGGAGCAAACAGG
rnacentral:rRNA from 1 species